rnacentral:rRNA from 1 species
UACGGGGGGGGCAAGCGUUGUUCGGAAUUACUGGGCGUAAAGGGCUCGUAGGCGGCCAACUAAGUCGGACGUGAAAUCCCUCGGCUUAACCGGGGAACUGCGUCCGAUACUGGAUGGCUCGAGUGUGGGAGAGGGAUGCGGAAUUCCUGGUGUAGCGGUGAAAUGCGCAGAUAUCAGGAGGAACACCGGUGGCGAAGGCGGAUCUCUGGGCCAUUACUGACGCUGAGGAGCGAAAGCGUGGGGAGCGAACAGG